AGGUCCUACGGGACGCAGCAGUAGGGAAUUUUCGUCAAUGGGCGCAAGCCUGAACGAGCGAUGCCGCGUGAGUGAAGAAGGCCUUCGGGUCGUAAAGCUCUGUUGCGGGGGAAAAAAGGCAGCAUCAGGAAAUGGGUGCUGACUGAUGGUGCCCCGCCAGAAAGUCACGGCUAACUACGUGCCAGCAGCCGCGGUAAUACGUAGGUGGCGAGCGUUAUCCGGAAUGAUUGGGCGUCAAGUGUGCGCAGGCGGUCCUGCACGUCUGGACUGAAACUCAUGAGCU
rnacentral:rRNA from 1 species